AGAAUCAACGCUGGCGGCGUGCCUAACACAUGCAAGUCGAACGAGAAAGUGGAGCAAUCCAUGAGUAAAGUGGCGACCGGGUGAGUAACACGUGACUACCUACCCUUGGAGUGGGGGAUAACCUCGGGAAACCGAGGCUAAUACCGCAUAAUAUCGAAAGAUCAAAGGAGUAAUCCGCUUUUGGAGGGGUCGCGGCUGAUUAGCUAGUUGGUAGGGUAAUGGCCUACCAAGGCGAAGAUCGGUA
rnacentral:rRNA from 1 species